AUGGACCACGCGUCCACUGCGGUUCUGAGCGCGCCGCCCACACAACUGACGACUGCUCGCUACGUCCUGCCAGCC
rnacentral:sRNA from 1 species